AGCCUGGUCAGCUUGGAGGUUAGCGCGUCUGCCUUGUAAGCACUAGGUCGCGAGUUCGAUUCCUGCCCGGGUUU
rnacentral:tRNA from 1 species